AGCGGGGAAAAGCUUGCUUUUCCGCCGGCGACCGGCGCACGGGUGCGCACCGCGUAUGGAACCUGCCUUGUACAGGGGAAUAGCCCAGGGAAACUUGGAUUAAUGCCCCGUAGUACCGUAUUUCGGCAUCGUUAUACGGUUAAAGCCUUCGGGCGGUACAAGAUGGCCAUGCGUCCCAUUAGCUGGAUGGUAAGGUAACGGCUUACCAUGGCUACGAUGGGUAGGGGCCCUGAGAGGGGGAUCCCCCACACUGGUACUGAGACACGGACCAGACUCCUACGGGAGGCAGCAGUGAGGAAUAUUGGACAAUGGAGGAGACUCUGAUCCAGCCAUGCCGCGUGCAGGAAGAAUGCCCUAUGGGUAGUAAACUGCUUUUAUACGGGAAGAAAAAGAGCUACGUGUAGCUUACUGACGGUACCGUAAGAAUAAGGACCGGCUAACUCCGUGCCAGCAGCCGCGGUAAUACGGAGGGUCCGAGCGUUAUCCGGAAUUAUUGGGUUUAAAGGGUCCGUAGGCGGGCCGAUAAGUCAGGGGUGAAAGUCUGCCGCUCAACGGUAGAACUGCCUUUGAUACUGUCGGUCUUGAGUUAUAGUGAAGUUGCCGGAAUAUGUAGUGUAGCGGUGAAAUGCAUAGAUAUUACAUAGAACACCGAUUGCGAAGGCAGGUGACUAACUAUAUACUGACGCUGAUGGACGAAAGCGUGGGGAGCGAACAGGAUUAGAUACCCUGGUAGUCCACGCCGUAAACGAUGGAUACUAGCUGUCCGGAACCUUGAGUUCUGGGCGGCCAAGCGAAAGUGAUAAGUAUCCCACCUGGGGAGUACGUUCGCAAGAAUGAA
rnacentral:rRNA from 1 species